UAUGACGAUAUCACGUUGAAACACUGAUUGCCGUACGAUUAUCGAAGUUAAGCAACGUCGUGCCUGGUCAUUACUUAAAUGGGUAACCACUUGGGAAUACCAGGUGCUGUGGG